rnacentral:lncRNA from 1 species
CUCCUUCAUUUGGGAGGGGAGCUGGGAGGGUGGAAGCAGUGGUGGAGGUGUGUGCUGGGUGAAGAGCACCUGGUCCGAAGCAGCUGGACAGCAGACGAGGGAAAGGACGACGGGCUCGCCCUGCUCCUUGGUUCAGGAGGUCUGGUCAAGAACAGUGGGGCUCCUGCCCCGGGGCGAGUGGCCCCUGCUUCUGGAGAACCAGAACCUUUGAAAUGUCUAUCAGAACCUCGUGAGAAGACAGCGAUCGACUUGGAGCAGAAAUUUGAAGAACUAAAGCUGUGGUUGUUCCUGAGAGUUGAUGCCAAGACAACAGAUCCUGUAGGGGCCAAAGAACUCCUUGUCAUGGCUCUCGUAUGGGAGCUGCAAUUCUCACGUCUCCUUCUGCCUCAUCGUCUGGUCCCAGCCUACUUUACAAGCCUGCCAAUGUUUUUCCUCCAACCACAACCCUACAGCAGGCCCGAACAAGCUUUAAGAGAAGACGCCAAAAGCGAGAGCUGUGGAUUUGGAGAAGUGGACGCUGAUAACCCCUGUCCCACACCUGAGAUGUCCCUGCUACCCCCCGAGGCCACCACCAGUUCAGUUUCUGAGUAAGAAAGAGAGAGAGGACAAUGAGAAAAGAAGAACAGAUCUUCAGUUCCAGAUCAAUACAUCGAACAUCCGUGUGAGGCGGAAUCUGAAGUUGCUGAUGGAUCACUAUCUGCCUGGCUUCAAGGAAACAGCUGCGUGCCUGACCCUGCCAGACAGGGUGAAGCGCGCGCCAGGGACGACCCCAAGAAGAACCGUCUCCUCCGACGUUUUCAAAAGGCUGUCUACACCCAGAGCAAGGGCGCUGUCCCCGUCUCCCCGGCGUGCUGCAGCCUGUGACUCCGCUGGCCACGGGGCGGCCGCAGGGACCGUGGCCCACGGCUCCAGGACGGUCGGAGGGGGCAAAGCCACAAAAGCAAGAAAGGUGCCGAAGCAGCGGGUCGCGAAGCAGCUCCGCUUUCCCCCCAGCCCGGCGCCCGUCCCAGCCUCGCCGCCGACUCGCUGUGGUGCAGAGGGCUGAAAAAUCGGGGUGGCUUCAAUUCCGCAGGAAUAAAAGGGGACUAAUAAACACAGCCUGGCUCGUUCUUGCUGUGGAUGG